UACGUAGGUGGCAAGCGUUGUCCGGAUUUACUGGGCGUAAAGAGCGCGCAGGCGGUCGUUCAAGUCGCGUGUGAAAGCCCCCGGCUCAACUGGGGAGGGUCACGCGAUACUGAUCGACUCGAAGGCAGGAGAGGGAAGUGGAAUUCCCGGUGUAGUGGUGAAAUGCGUAGAUAUCGGGAGGAACACCAGUGGCGAAGGCGGCGACCUGGGUCGAUACUGACGCUGAGGUGCGAAAGCGUGGGGAGCAAACAGG
rnacentral:rRNA from 1 species